rnacentral:lncRNA from 7 species
GCUUCCUCCAUAUCCACUAGUGAAGUCCGGAAUCAAUCUCAACAACCAGGCCACGUUUGUCGGGGUUGGUUAAUCGACCGACCCUGCCCGUACUAAACAUCGUCGUGGCCCUAUAAAACAGCCAGCCCACCCGUGCCACAAGGGUCGACCACCGCUGCUCCGCCACCAUGGACACGUCGUCUUCGGCCAUGCUCUUCUGCUUAGUCUCCAGCUCUCCGGCCGUGCUCCCUCCCUUGUGUGCCCGCAUGCCCAUCUAGAACCCGUCAGUCGAGCAGACCAGAGGGACUCGUCACCAGGGCUGCAGACGUCGAAGGCAAAUUAGGAGGGUGUUUCAUCCGUGGCGCCUAUCAAUGGAUCAUCACCAGAUCAUGCUCAACCUGUACGUUUCUAUGGUGGGUCGAGAAACUAGUCGAGUUGGCCAGAGUUCAUUGCCAGGGUUGGAUACGGCAGCUGGGCUAUAGUACGUCGUGGGCAGAUGCAGAGAUGCUACCAUCGCUCCGAUCGCCGGUAAGGAUACUAUCCAUCACAUCGCUUU